rnacentral:rRNA from 1 species
UACGGAGGGAGCUAGCGUUGUUCGGAAUUACUGGGCGUAAAGCGCGCGUAGGCGGCUUUGUAAGUUAGAGGUGAAAGCCCGGAGCUCAACUCCGGAACUGCCUUUAAAACUGCAUCGCUUGAAUCCAGGAGAGGUGAGUGGAAUUCCGAGUGUAGAGGUGAAAUUCGUAGAUAUUCGGAAGAACACCAGUGGCGAAGGCGGCUAUCUGGCCCGUAAUUGACGCUGAGGCGCGAAAGCGUGGGGAGCAAACAGG